rnacentral:lncRNA from 1 species
GCUGCCUGGAAGCCAGUAUUCUGCUAGCAGCCUUCAGAUGAAGAUGUAGAACUCCUGCACCAUGCCUUCCUGGAUGCUACCAUGUUCCCGCCUUGAUGAUAAUGGACUGAACCUUUGAACCCAUAAGCCAGUCCCAACUAAAUGUUGACCUUGUAAGAGUUGCCUGGUCAUGGUGUCUCACAUUCACUGCCAGCCGGAUCUACCUGAGCUGGGGACUGAACCCAGGGCCUUGUACUUGCUAGUCUGCACAAAACUUGUGUGCCUGGUGCCCACGGAGACCAGAAGAGGCUGUACAUCUCUAAGGACAAGAGUUACAAGCGGUUGUGAUUCUGUGUGGGUGCUGAGAAUUGAACCCAGAUAUAUUCCCAAAGAGCAGCCUGUACUGACCAGAGAGCUCUGGGCAGAAGUUGAUCAUCAGAAAAUAAAGGGCACUGGGCCAAAGAGCCAAAGGGCAGAACCAUCAACCAAAUAACCCAGCAACAAGCCACCGCUCAGGGUCAAGCAUUGAUAUACCUUCAGAAAUGUCCCCAGAAUUAUAAAUGCCACAGAAUUGCAGAAACUAUCACGAUUCUUCUAGAGCAUGAGGCAAAUCACAGGCAGCUGCUGUGGUCAGUCUGAAGCAGCCCCAUAGCCCACACCUGGGUUCAAAAUGAAAACAUAUUUCCACAGUAUUUCUGUUUUUCAAAGAAACCAAAACUCCAACAUUGUCACUGUACGGUUUCUCUGUGUGCCCUGGCUGUCCUGGAAUUAAUUUUGUAGUCCAGGCUGGCCUUGAACUCCG